rnacentral:lncRNA from 12 species
UGGAAGGAAUAAACCAGGUGUGAAGACUGGAAAAGGAAAACGAGCCCACAGCACUUUCCUUGGGAAGGGAACAGAAGAUUCUGCAACUUCCAGACGGGAGGAGAAACAGGAAAAAGGUUUGAGAAGCUGAAGCAGUGGCAGAGGUACCAGGGAGAAGAAAUAAGAGGCAGAGGACUGGGCUGAAGCUGGAGCUUUUGAGGAACAGCCAGCUGCAGCAGGAGUGGGAGCACCCAGGGAAAUGACUCAGCUCCCUCGGGCCAGAUGUGGAUUUUGACCCAGCAAACCAGAAGAACACUGACAUAAAGGUGGAGUGUUGUAUUAUUCAGGGAACA